AUGAGUCAUGAGGAUGCAUGCACAGAAAUGGAGAGUGAGGAACUGGAUGGACUUUGGACAACCAUUUAUGUCUUCAUUGUCCUCUUCCUUCUCAGCGUUUGCUAUAGUGCCACAGUCACCCUAUUCAAGGUAAAGUGGAUUUUUUCUGCAGUGCUGCAGCUGAAGCCUGAACCCAAGACCCCACCCAGUGUUUUCCCCCUGAGCCUCUGUGGAGCUGGUAACUCAGGGGUGGUAGGCUGCCUUGCUCAAGGCUUCUUCCCAGAGCCUGUAGAGCUGACCUGGGAUUACAGUGGCUCCGAAGGCACAGUGAGGAGCUAUCCUGCUACACUAUCUGGAAAUAAGUACCUUCAAACCAGUGUGCUUGAUCUCCACACCGACCAGUGCCCUAAGGAGCCUAAGACCUACAAGUGCCAAGCAAAACACUACGAAACCAGUGUUGACGUGAAUGUUCCCUGCGUUGUACCACCAUGUGAUUGCCCAUGUGGAGUUCAGGUAUCCCUGAGUGGCCCCUCUCUGGAGAGCCUGCUCCUGGGUAUAGGUGCCAACCUGACAUGCACACUCAGUGGCAUCAAGAACAGUAAUGGAGCCACAUUCACCUGGAAGCAUCAUACAGCCCAGGCAUCAACUUUGAGCCCUAUCCAAGGAACACCUGAACAAGACUCUAAUGGCAAGUACAGGGUGUCCAGUGUCCUGGAGAUCUGCACUGAGGACUGGCUCCAUGGGGACACCUUUUCCUGCACUGUGUCCCAUCCUGAGAUAAACACUACAAAGACCAUCUACAAGCCAGAAGUGCCCCAGAUACCACCCCAGGUCUACCUGCUGCCACCAUCAACAGAUGAAGGAGCCUUACAUGAAGUGGUCUCAAUCAUAUGCCUGGUGAGAGGCUUUAGCCCAAAAGACGUGUUCAUACGAUGGAUGAAAGGAUCUGAGGAGCUGCCCAAGAAAGACUAUAUCACCAGCAACCCUUAUCCAGAGCCCAAGAGCACCAGCACCCACAUGGUAUCUAGCAUCCUCCAAGUCCAAAGCACUGAUUGGAAAAACGAUAACAAAUACUCCUGUGUGGUAGGCCAUGAAGCUCUUCCCCUGAACUUCACCCAGCAAACCAUCGACCGAUUGUCUGGUAAACCCACCAAUGUUAAUGUAUCUGUCAUCGUGUCUGAUGUCUAUGAUCACGGGAAGGAGGUGACGAUGUCCAUUAACUGUCUUGAUAAGGAUUUUGUGGAAGAGGAUGAUAGCGAAGCCACCCUAUGGCCCAUGACAGUGACCUUCCUCACUCUGUUCCUGCUCAGCAUGUUCUACAAUACCACAGUGACCCUCAUGAAGACCAAGUCUGGUCCAGCCAUCAAGUACUAA